rnacentral:misc_RNA from 1 species
UAGCUGGAGCUAAGAAAUUAGUUUGGAG